UACGUAGGGCGCAAGCGUUGUCCGGAAUUAUUGGGCGUAAAGAGCUCGUAGGUGGUGUGUCGCGUCUGCCGUGAAAACCCGAGGCUUAACCUCGUGGCUUGCGGUGGAUACGGGCAGACUAGAGGUAGGUAGGGGAGAAUGGAAUUCCCGGUGUAGCGGUGAAAUGCGCAGAUAUCGGGAGGAACACCGGUGGCGAAGGCGGUUCUCUGGGCCUUACCUGACGCUGAGGAGCGAAAGCGUGGGGAGCGAACAGG
rnacentral:rRNA from 1 species